rnacentral:tRNA from 1 species
GCCUAGCUGUCUCAGUCAGUAGAGCAUGUGACUCUUGAUCUCAGAGUUGUGAGUUCAAGCCCACCUUGGGCA